rnacentral:rRNA from 1 species
AUUGAACGCUGGCGGCAGGCCUAACACAUGCAAGUCGAGCGGUUGACGGGAGCUUGCUCCCUGAUUCAGCGGCGGACGGGUGAGUAAUGCCUAGGAAUCUGCCUAUUAGUGGGGGACAACGUUUCGAAAGGAACGCUAAUACCGCAUACGUCCGACGGGAGAAAGCAGGGGACCUUCGGGCCUUGCGCUAAUAGAUGAGCCUAGGUCGGAUUAGCUUGUUGGUGAGGGAAUGGCUCACCAAGGCGACGAUCCGUAACUGGUCUGAGAGGAUGAUCAGUCACACUGGAACUGAGACACGGUCCAGACUCCUACGGGAGGCAGCAGUGGGGAAUAUUGGACAAUGGGCGAAAGCCUGAUCCAGCCAUGCCGCGUGUGUGAAGAAGGUCUUCGGAUUGUAAAGCACUUUAAGUUGGGAGGAAGGGUUGUGGAUUAAUACUCCGCAAUUUUGACGUUACCGACAGAAUAAGCGCCGGCUAACUCUGUGCCAGCCGCCGCCGUAAUAC